GACGAACGCUGGCGGCGUGCUUAACACAUGCAAGUCGAACGGAAAGGCUCCAGCUUGCUGGAGUACUCGAGUGGCGAACGGGUGAGUAACACGGGGGUAAUCUGCCCUGCACUCUGGGAUAAGCCUGGGAAACUGGGUCUAAUACUGGAUAUGACCUUUCUCCUUAUGGGGUUUGGUGGAAAGUUUUUCGGUGUAGGAUGAGCCCGCGGCCUAUCAGCUUGUUGGUGGGGUGAUGGCCUACCAAGGCGACGACGGGUAGCCGGCCUGAGAGGGUGAUCGGCCACAUUGGGACUGAGAUACGGCCCAGACUCCUACGGGAGGCAGCAGUGGGGAAUAUUGCACAAUGGGCGGAAGCCUGAUGCAGCGACGCCGCGUGAGGGAUGACGGCCUUCGGGUUGUAAACCUCUUUCAGCAGGAACGAAGCGUAAGUGACGGUACCUGCAGAAGAAGCACCGGCUAACUAUGUG
rnacentral:rRNA from 1 species